UACGUAGGCAGCGAGCGUUGUUCGGAAUUACUGGGCGUAAAGGGCGCGUAGGCGGCUUGACAAGUCACUUGUGAAAUCUCCGGGCUUAACUCGGAAUGGCCAAGUGAAACUGUCAUGCUAGAGUGCAGAAGGGGCAAUCGGAAUUCUUGGUGUAGCGGUGAAAUGCGUAGAUAUCAAGAGGAACCCCUGAGGUGAAGACGGGUUGCUGGGCUGACACUGACGCUGAGGCGCGAAAGCCAGGGGAGCAAACGGG
rnacentral:rRNA from 1 species